GCCAGGCACCAUAGCAUGCACCUGUAGUCCCAGCUACUUGGGAGGCUGAGGCAGGAGGACUGCUGGAGGGCUUGAGCCCAGGAGUUGUGGGCUCCCAGGAGCAGGGGACCACUGGGUUGCCUAAGGUGGGGUGAACCAACACAGAUUGGAAAUGGAGCAGGUCAAACUCCUAUGCUGAUCAGUAGUGGGAUUGUGUCUUUGAAUAGCCACUGCACUCUAGCCUGGGCAACAUAGUAAGACCCUGUCUCU
ensembl:misc_RNA Metazoa_SRP Metazoan signal recognition particle RNA